rnacentral:rRNA from 1 species
GAUGAACGCUAGCGGCAGGCCUAACACAUGCAAGUCGAGGGGUAGAACACUUCGGUGUUUGAGACCGGCGCACGGGUGCGUAACGCGUAUGCAAUCUACCUUAUACAGGGGAAUAGCCCAGCGAAAUUUGGAUUAAUGCCCCAUAGCAUUACGACUUGGCAUCAAGAUGUAAUUAAAGUUCCAACGGUAUAAGAUGAGCAUGCGUCCCAGUAGUUAGUUGGUAAGGUAACGGCUUACCAAGACAAUGAUGGGUAGGGGUCCUGAGAGGGAGAUCCCCCCCACUGGUACUGAGACACGGACCAGACUCCUACGGGAGGCAGCAGUGAGGAAUAUUGGUCAAUGGUCGCAAGACUGAACCAGCCAUGCCGCGUGCAGGAAGACGGUCCUAUGGAUUGUAAACUGCUUUUAUACAGGAAGAAACCCUCCCACGUGUGGGAGCUUGACGGUACUGUAGGAAUAAGGAUCGGCUAACUCCGUGCCAGCCGCCGCAGUAAAAC